ACAGGCAUUGUAUCCGACUGGGCCGACCACAUAGAAAUUAAAGAUGAGGAUCUGAUUCAGAGGCAGCUGCAGGUCUUUUUCUGCCGUGUGGUGUCACUGGGUCCAGCGAUAUUUAAGGUGACCGUGUCAUGAUGAAAAACAACACAAGAACAGACAGAGCCAAUUUCGGUCAGGUUGGAUGCUUGCUGCCAUGGCCUGACCCCUGCUGCUGCUGUGAUGGGGACAGCAUUUCUGCCAGUUCGCUGGGGGCU
rnacentral:lncRNA from 1 species